UGGGGGGGUAUGAAGACUGGGGGAGGGGGGCGUGAAUGUGUGUCGGAACUGUUCAAACAGUCAAACCGCUGUCAGCCAUUAAGCAAUGCAUCCAUCAGCAAGGCGUUGGUCAAGUGAUCGAUCGAUUGGUUUGAGGAGCGAUCGGCUGGAUGGCUGCGGCCCAAACUACCUCCGUUCCGUCGGGUUUUGGGGCAGAAAAAAACUCAAACCUUUGAGAUGAAUCUGUGGGUUUUGAUUUCCAGUGUCUGCAGGGACAGAAGCUACGGGUUGUCCCGGGCGACAAGCCUACGAUGAGACCCGCGCACUCCCCGAUCCAACUCGCCCCACGGCCCGUUUAGAAGCAGGUCCAGGUCCAGUCAACGCCUCGGACUUCACCUGAUCCGGUCUGAAGGAUCAAGGGCCCAAGGAGGUCACAGGAAGAACCUUUACCGUGAGAGUCCACGCUAAUCCGGCUGGAUGCCAAAAGGUCAAGUUCCAAUCCGUUUUAAGGAAGGACGCUCCGAGGUCAAACCUCCUGCGACGGACUCGUGAGGUUGUUUCACGCUUCACCGAUAGAGAACGAAGCAAAAUAACCGACAAACUGCCUCACGUGGAACUUCCUGCUGAUUCCCAGAGGACCACGGGCCUCCUCUUCAGGGGGAGCCGACGCGGUUUGACUUGACCUUGGACCGCUUCAACCCAGCGUCUUCAGGCUGAAUGACCACUCGAUGCUUUCUUCUCUGGACAAUCACUCCGUACCACAGCACACUGAGCCCGAUGCCUGCCGACCGACCGGUACCUGUGUCCCUGACCCCUGACCUCUCCUCCUCGCUCCAUUCCUUACACCCCUCAACCUGUUCCCUCCCUGUCCUCUUUGGCCGUCCUAUUGGCCAGGAAGACUUUUAGUAACGUACUGCCCGACCAGUCAAGACUGUGGAAUCCGCCAGAACCGUAAAUCUUAACUGUAUCCAGAAUCACAUUUUGAAUACAUUCCAGCUCUGUAGACGAGCGGAUGGACGUGCUAACGUGCUAACGCUAAUGCGGACCGUUGAGGACAAGAACCGCCCUGGAAAAGGGGGAUUUCGGGUUCAGCACCAGUUGGCGAGCCUUCGCACAUCCGCCCACACAGCCAUGCUAACCGCACCCAGGGGAAAUACUGUGCCAUGUGAAGAACCGGACCGGAUCGUGUCAGAACUGGACCGGACUCGGACCAAAACCGGAUGAAAAACCAGCCCGGAGUGGCGUUUUCGACCGGACUCAAGGACUUUUAAGACUUGUGGCCAUAAUUGUAAACAACAAAAGAAUGAAGAUAAUAAUAAUAAUAAUAAUAAUGAUGGUGAUAAAGUAUAAGUUAAACACUACAAAAACAAAGGAGAAAAUAACUAUGAAAUGUUAACGUGUAAUAAGAACUUUGUGGAUUUUAAGGAGGUGAACUUGUAUAAAGCUGAACGUUCGGGGGGGGCGGGGCUUAAUAUGUUGCAUGUGGAGUCUGUUGAUUUCCAAUAAGGUCACCAUGACGACGUAAUCGCUGGACUUCUUUAACCCGUCCUCAGAACACAACACCCCCUCGUGUGUGUGUGUGUGUGUGUGUGUGUGUGUGUGUGUGUGUGUGUGUGUGUGUGUGUGUGUGUGUGUGAGAGAGAAUUAAAAACCUUUUUAUCUCAUUUGCAACGAUUUGAAUUAUCACAUUUUCAUCUUUCAGGCUUCUGAAAAAUCUCCAAUUGGACUUUUAGUUGUUUUUAUUUAUUAGGAGGAGGAGGAGGGCUGAGGGGUUGGGGGGGUCAAAGGGUCAAAGGCAAAGCAAGAGAGCCUAAUUAAACACAGAAGGAUGCUAAAGUGUGUGUGUGGGGGCUUAAUACUGAUCAUUGAGGAAACCCCUUCAUCUAACUGAGGAAGAGGAGAACAAGAUGUAUUAAUCUGUUUUAUAACUAGUCCAGCUUCACUUAAAGAAAGCAUUACAAAUUAUAAUAUGAAUAAUAAUAAUAAACGUAUUUACAUGAAGCUUGAGGCAGUAGAUGCUUUUAUUAUUAAUCACAAACAAAUGAAGUUUAAAAGAAGCUUCUGUUUACAAUGAGUUCAAUGAUGUCGUACAGCCACGACAUCGAGGAAAUAAAAAGGUGUGUGUGUGUGUGUGUGCGUGUGUGUGUGUGUGUGCGCGCGUGUGUCACACAGCAGGGGGGAGGUAAAUGAGACUUAAGAGGCCGUUGGCCACGUCUAAUUCCUGGAACAGAAUACAAAGCAAUGUGGCUCAGAGUCCAACGUUGUCCUGCGGUCAGAUAUUUAUUUAUCGUUUGUAUUUCUCCUCUAAUUUAUUUUUUAGACGAGUGAUAUUUAUUGUUGGUGGACCAACACAGUUUCAUUGGUUUGUAGAGACGACACACAUACACACUCACUGAGACACACACACACACACACACACACACACACACACUGGUGCAUUCUGGGGAUGAUCUAUUUUCUGACUUUUAUAUUGAUCAGAGAUCAAACAUAGCGACCCAUCCAUAGAUUAUCAUCAAUAACUUGUUGCACUGACCUCCCAUUGAAUAGCUAUGGGAGUUUCCUGACCCCGCCCCCUUGCCAAGGCCCUCCCACUCCCAGUGAUUGGCCGACCCGGCCGUGUCAUUGUAUCACAGCGACAGCAAAACCACUGGACUCGCUGAGCGUAAAGGGGGGUCAGAUGUCUUUACUGUACCAUACUAGAAUUAUUAUCAUUAUUAUUUCUUUAUGUUAUUGAUCCGGCGAUAACUCCACCUGUCAAGCCCCCUUCUGGUCCACGUUAGGCCCCUCUGGGUCCUCUUAGGGGUCCUCGGCCGCUGCCUCACUCCGGACCCGUCUCUCAUUUCAGGAGAGGUCGUUAAUUCUGGCUGCGUUUCGGGGGUCUUCUCAUCGACCGUCGUCUGUCAUUGGCCAAUCAAAACAUGCACGUGAUGACAUCACAGCCACGUCGCCUUCAUGCAGCGCCUCCCAGGAUGUAGCCAGGGCCCAUGUUUUGAUACCAUUCUCCGUUGCCUUGUUUUUUAUUUAGUUUAAUUUAGUUGAACAUGUAAUGAUGAUGAGUGUUCUUCAUGUAAUAGCCUGUGUCCGUUUUAUACCAUUGCCAUUGCCUUCUGCUGAGUUUGUAUAUUUGUGUGAUUUCACUAAAGUGUAAUGGAAACGUUUCAUGUUUUUAAUGUUUCAGACUAAUUCCACUUUUAACGAGUUAAAGCUUCUGAAUAAACAGAUCACUUUUCAAAGAGCAGGAAGCUUCAUGGUCAAGAGUUUCACAAUAAAAGCAAGUUCUACAGGUUUCUGUCACAAAACAGUAUUUCAUUAAUAUAAAUAUUAACCUUUUAUACUUUUUUUCUUUUUCUUUUUUAAAUAUUUGGACAAGUUCGG
ensembl:lncRNA